AACUUUUCAUGUUGGCGUAAGUUAUUUAGUAAUGUUUUUAUAUGAAAGAAUCAAUCACAAUCAAUCUCUAAAGAUCAAGUCUAAAUUAAUUAGCCCUACCUUGAAUGGCUCAAUCACAUUUAUUGGGAAACAAAUGACUGAUUUUAAGAAAAUUAAUGGGUCGUCGCUCUCUGGAUCAAACUCCUCCCUCGAUCAACGCCGCGUGUUUUCUCUCUUCCUCCAACCUGGCUAGGGUUCCCAGCCCCAUCUUCUCCGCCGCCGCCAUGUAAUCCUCUCCGACCUCGCCUGGAGCAGCCAGCAAGAUGCCGCCGCCGUGGCCGCCUCUCUCCCUUCUCUCCUCUUUUUCCCUACCUUUCUCUCUCCUCUAAAGUCUAAACUGUGUGCAGGUCCUCUCCACAGGUGCUGCCAUGGCCGUGUCAUGGAGCUCGCCCCCGUGGGAUGCAUGCCCCUCCAAUGACGCCCUGUCCAGGUCCUCUGGAUCCCGAUUUGAGUGUGUUAUUUUGCGUCCGAUCCUGAUUUGGACGGCAUUUUUUGAGGCACCGCGAGCGCGCUGGACGGCAAAAAGGGUUGCGUCAAGGAGCGACGCAUUGUUGUAAGCCUGUAGCACACCAUUGUUGCUACUCCCACCUCGAUGGUCUAUCUCAUGGGUUGCAGAUAGGAUGUGAUAUUCUGCAGCGUGGACAUCGCCUAGCAAUCAGAUUUGAUGUUGAGAAAGAUCCGGCAGGAAGAUCUCAUCCUGGAACCCAGGAGUGCUUGAUUUGAUAUUGAGAAUUCUACUUGCUAGCAGUGUACAUGUUUCUUAUGAUGCCCGUGUGCGUUUACCUUGUCAAGAAGUUCCGCGUGAAUGUCAAUGCCGAUGAAGACAAAGGUGCUCUGCUUCGAUCCCUUCUUUUGAUUUCGCAAAAUGGAAAACACAAGGGUGUCUGGAAAUUGAGAUCGUUGGUUCACCAUCAGAAGCUUCGCAUGAACGUCAAUGUCGAUAAUGACAAAGGUGCUCUGUUUCGCUCCCUUCUUCUGAUUUUGCAAAAUGCAAAACACCAGGGUGUCUAGAAAUUGAGAUCGUUGGUUCACCAGCAACACAGUCAGUAUUAUAAAACAGAUUGCAUGGAUGCUUUAUUUGUGUGUUCGAUGUAGUCUAAUUUGAUAUACGCGGUGAUGGUAUUGAAUCUGCAAAGAAAAUAUAUACUCAUUUCCUAAUUGCAUCUUUUAAUCAGGAGCCCAGGACCAACCUUUAGGCAGGAAAGAGGGACAAUCUUCAGUAAAGUACAAUUUUCAUGUCUUCUUAUAACAUUUGACUGAUGUGUUAUGGUAUCAUUCUUCUACUUUCACAGCUAUUACUGUGAAUGUGUUGACGUCAUGUCUUCUCAUCAUUUGAGCUUACUUCGAUAUUAUUGAUUCUAAAUCCAGCAAGAUCUUGAAUAUUUUUUCACUUUGCCCAUUCAAAAAUUUGUUCACCUAGCAACAUUCAUGAUGUAAGCUUUGAUUUGAAAAACAACUUUUAAUGUUAUAGGACAGACAAAGAAGAAGGUUAGGGAGGACAUGCCCGAGAAGCUCAGAGAUAAGGCAGAGGUUGGGGACACAUAGGGGAAGCCUUGAAGGGGGAGAUAAGCAAGCUCAAGCACUAUGAGCAUGGGAUGACAGAGCGGCCGACCAAGGCGGUUGAGAGCAGGCGUGUGCGAGAGGAAGUGAACUGGGGAGAGGCAACAGGGGGCAUCACUAGGAAGGCAGCAGGUGGCAUGCAACAUUGGCCUUAUCUCUUAUGUUCGCCAAGGUGGCCUGUUGUUUCCACAAUAUGUUUGGAUUGUCAUGUUGUUAUGGUCACGUAGGGUUGAAAUUCUUUCAAUGCAAUUAUCUCAGUAAAAUCACAUGGUAAUCUUCUGUGCUCUUGUAAAGAGUGAUCAUUUUCUUAAUCUUAAUAUUGUGAUUAAUCAACCAAUAGUGUUGUAUGAUUUAAAAAAAAUUAAGACUUUUUUGGCCAAUUAAUCUACACCUUUGUUCAUUGACGGGAGGUGCUUUUGAUCUUGUAAUUAGUUCCUCUGGAUUAUGUGUUUUGUUCUGCUGGUCAAAGGUUAGUAUAUGACUGACUUAGAAUUGUUUUUUCUGAAUUGUGUAUGAAAUAUCUUGGCGUUUGUGAAUCUGGUGGAACAAAUGAUGUUUAGACAUGAUUAUUUUGCUCCAUAGUUUACUGUCUACAUCGUUAUUAUUAUUCUCCUAAUAGUCACACUGUCCAAUUCAUAAAAGCGCAUUUUGAUUUGAGAAUUUGGGGAUGUGGAUGAGACAUAUUUGUACCAAACAAUUUUCUCGCAAAUUUCUUACAAUCCCCUAUAGAACCAUCCUUUUCUUUGUAGGGAAGCAAAUAUUUUGGGUUGUAUCAUAUUAAGGUGAGAUGUAAUGAAUCAAUAUGAGGUGUUGGAGUAGACUUGGAAGGGCUCUUUGGCUCCACAUUCAAGGUGAGAUACAGGGUUGAGAAGAAGAGGUUACUAUAAUUCUAGCCAUGUUCGUUGCUCCCCAAGAUCUUCUGAAGUAUGGCUUUCAGGUAUGUCUCCAAGAUUGUAAAGGAUAUGACAUUGCCUUUGUUUUGCUCAGGAAUAAGUGGUCAUGAAUAAUAAAGGUUUGUUCUUGUUCAGUAAUGGUUGGCCACCACAUUUUCUUUAGGGUAUGGCUAACCAAGUCUUAGUCAAGUGGCAUAGUAUGUAAGAAAGAAGAAAGAUUAGGCUGAAGAAAAAGUUUACAUAGUUCUCCAUGUAAGAUCUAACGAAUGUAGCAUCGACUGACACUUAACCAAGUCUUGGUCAAUUGAUAUUUAGCAAGACUGUUUUUAUUAUAUGAAUUGUUUUUACUGCUUGCAUGUGACAGCCAGAGCAGCAGUUAGAAUUCUAUUUGUUCUUCUAUAUUCGAUAGGACAGGCUCGAGUUUCAGUAUGGAUAAUGUUCCAUUGUAUUCUAAAGUAGCCAAAGAAGGUCUCUAAUAACUCUAAGUAACAGCAACAAGUUCGUCGUCAUACCAGUCAGCUAUAUGAGUACUUUAUGUUAUUUCAGAUCAUACACCAACCCCUCCUCCCCCUUUUGUGUAUAUCUAUAGAGAGAUAUACCCUUGGUUAUCUUUCUCAUCUUUUGUAAUACGCCAACCUCUCCUCCCCUUGCCCUCUGCCUUAUCUCUGAACUUUCAAUGUUAUGGAUUAUCUUUUAACUACGUUAUGGUAAUGCCCGUUUGUUUCGUUUCAGAGUUAUAAAGAAGUAAUCAACUAGGAGCAUAUUAUAUAUUGUUCAUAUCAGUUCAAGAGUUCAGUACUGGGCUAUAGUUCGGUUUAGUUUGGUUGUUCUGUUUUGCCACUUGCACCGUCAUGCAAUGAUUUUCAGUUCAAUGACAUGCCCAUAGGUUGACAAGACCGAUGAUAUGCUCUCCAAUUGAUUUAUAUUUCCAUCUGCACUAUAUUACAACAAUUUUCAUCUCAUGUACAUGCUCAGAACAUCCAAGAUCCGCUCUGAAAUUUUGUUACCAAAGUUACAAAGUGAUUUGCUCGCAAAUUGACAUGGAUGGACUGCUCUCAAAUUGACAACUAUUAAAGUUAGUUUAAAAUCUCAGCUCGACAUUUGCUCCUAAAUCUGAAGCUUGUAUGUCCUACUCAAAGGGACAACAUCUGGUGUGUUAAAUCUGAAACUCAAAUCUCCUCCUUUUUGUUGACAUGUGUGUAUGAUCCAGUAUAUCAUGCUCAAUCGACAGUCCCAUGGCAGAGUUGUCCUAGUCAUGCCUACAUGUCCGUCGACCUUCAUCCAUGGUCGUUGUACCUCGAUGAAACACAUGGCGCUCACUUGACACCUUCAGCAGCGGCACGAGGUGACGGCGUGGUGCUGCUAUACGGUGACGCGGCGCUAGCUUGGCGCAUCCUCUUGCGGUGGUGUGGGCAUGGCAUUGGCGGUCGCCGUUCAUCCAUGGCCACCGUACCACACCCAAGGGAUGGAGCGCUCGCUUGGUGCAUCCCGCGCCAGGACCUCGAUGGCGUGGUGAAGCCACGAGCGGUGAUGCUACACUCGCUUGGGGUGGAAAUGUGGUCUCCCUCCCACCAUGUUGUGGCAGCGGCAAUCGCUCUCCCACCCACAACAAAGCUCAUGGGCGCCGCCAGCGGCAAGCCAUGUGUGAUGGAAAUGAAGGGGUUAGGCGUCAUUAUUUCUUUUUCUUGAGGUGUGGGUUGUUCAGGAGCCAUUAUACAUGUUUAACAUGGAAGGGGUCUUGAGCAGACUGAAACCUAUGGAUAGAUGAGACCUUGAGCGGACUGAAAUUGGAGCAAGAGUUCAAUAUUAUUGGUGGUAUUCUGGUAUCUUUAUGUCCUCAAAUACCUAGGAAAAGUGCAUUCGUGAACUCUGUAUAGCAUGGUGUCCCCAAACUGAGACAAUAUUGUAACAAAAUUCCCCAUAAGGUUUGCAUCAUUUGUAUUAAAGUCAUUGCUAUUUUCUGACAAA